rnacentral:rRNA from 1 species
UACAGAGGUCUCAAGCGUUGUUCGGAUUCAUUGGGCGUAAAGAGCUCGUAGGUGGUUCGGUAAGUCGGAUGUGAAAUCUCCAGGCUCAACCUGGAGGGGUCAUUCGAUACUGCCGUGACUAGAGGUCGGUAGGGGAGUGUGGAAUUCCUGGUGGAGCGGUGAAAUGCGCAGAUAUCAGGAGGAACACCCGUAGCGAAGGCGGCACUCUGGGCCGAUUCUGACACUGAGGAGCGAAAGCGUGGGGAGCGAACAGG